rnacentral:lncRNA from 1 species
AACCAGAAAGACAAGGGGGUUAAAUUGGGACCAAAAGGGGAAUUAUAAAGAAGCCCAAGGAGACAUUUCAGGGUACAUGCUUUAAUUGUAGCAAAUUUGGAUAUCGUGCUUCUGAGUGCAGAAAAUCAAUGCAAUCCUCGAGCUCAUGCACAUAUGACUAAGGUCAUCACAGGGGGUGUAAAUGAUAUCAAUCUCUCGAUAAUGAUUUUUAAAGUAAUAUGGUGUGAUCAAAUCCAUAAGAAUGGUGGAUAGACACUGGGGCUACACGCCAUGUCUGUUGUGAUAGACGAAUAUUCACUACCUUCGAGCUAGUGACAAAUGGUGAGAAUGUAUUUAUGGAAAUUCAGCCACCUCCAACAUUACUGGGAUUGGGAAAGUGGUCCUAAAAAUAACUUCAGGAAAAAAGCUGACCUUGAACAAUAUUUUGUUCAUGCCCAAAGUCAAAAAGAAUCUAAUAUAUGGUUCUCUAGUUAGUAGGUAUGUUUUCCAUAUGGUCUUUGAGGCAGAUAGGGUCACUCUAUCAAAGGUCGGAAUGUAUGUAAGGAAAGGUUAUAUAACCGAUAAUCUAUUUAAGAUGAAUGAAAUGACUAUAAUUCCUACUAUCAAUAAAAAGAAUUUUUCUAUUGCUUAUGUGCUUGAGUAUUCCAUUUUAUGGUAUGGUAGACUAUGAUAUGUUAAUUAUGAUUUUAUGCGUAGACUAAUUAACUUGGAUCACAUUCUAACGUUUUAAAUUGAUAAAAAUUACAAGUGUGAGACUUGGUUGAAGCGAAGUUAACAAGGUCUUUGUUUCACUCGGUUGAAACAAGUACAGAACCAUUGGGUUUAAUCCACAUUGAUGUGUGUGAUUUAAAAUAUGUCCAAACACCCAAUGCGAAUGAGUAUUUUAUUACAUUCAUUGAUAAUUGUACUAAAUAUUGUUAUGUGUACUUGCUAAAAAGGAAGGAUGAAGUUUUGGACAAAUUCAUUCUUUAUAAAAAUGAAGUAGAAAAUUAACUUAGAAAUAAGAUUAAGGCUGUGCGAAAUGACCGAGGUGAUGAAUAUGAAUCACAUUUUGAUGGAUACUGUGGAGAACAUUGAAUUAUCUACCAUGGAACUACUGAAUGAAAGAAUUGUACCUAAAGAAUAUAAUGAAUACUAUGUUGGUAAUUACUGGAUUGCCUCAUAAUAUAUGGAGUAAAGCGAUUCUCACCACCAACUAUAUCUUGAAUAUAGUGUCUUGCAAAAAGUCAGAUAAAAUCCCGUUUGAGUUGUUUAAAGAUAGGAGUCUUAACUAUAACUUUACGAGUGAGGAGUCUGCGAAGAUGGUUGUACCACCUCCUAAGAAGGAGAAACUAGGGCAUAAAUACGUUGAUGUGUGUUUCAUCAGUAUGCACAAAAAUAAUGCAUAUCGAUUCUUGUUAUGAGUUUGUAAUAUCAAAGAUAUCACAAGAAUAACUACAUGGGUCUAGGAAUAGGGUCGUUCUUUGAAACCUAUUUCCAAUAGAUCCAUUGCGUGAGUCUAGUUCAGUGAAACGAACUUUGCCAUCCGGUUAAUGAAACAAUCAGGUUAAGAAGAUGAAUUUGCAAAGGAAUUCGAAGUAGGAAGACAGGAGAAGUCCAAAUCUUUUAGGUCCAGACUAAAAAACUAUAUGUUAGAAAGUAAGCAUCAAACAUCAAGGAAUGUUAGUUAUUAGCUGUUCUAAAGGUUCUUUGUGGUCCCUUUUUUUUUUUUUUUUUUUUUUUCGGGAAAGAGGGCUAUUAAGAGUGAGGUUGACUCCUUUUAUAAAUCAUAUGUGGGAACUAGUGGAUUUACCACAGAAAGUAAGCCAUUGUGUCACGCCCCCGAUCUGAUCAGACCCGGCACGUAAUCAAAUUAUUCAAAUGCCGAAAAAGUCAAGCCCCAAAAUGCAUCUAGACGACUUAUGUGACAUUUUAGAAAAGAUAUGAGUAUUGAUAUGAAAAUCCAAAACCCCAAAAAAAAAAAAGAAAAUUUUUUGUUUCGCUGGAUGAAACAGUACCAGCGAGGAUCCAGCGAGAUCCAGCAAAAAUUCCGCGAACUAUGUGGCAAAAAAACAAGCUAUCGGCUUCUCAGCGAGGUCCCUUUUUUUUCGAGGAGGAAAACAGUACCAGCGAGGAUCCAGCGAGGUCUGUGGCAAAAAAACAAAGCUAUCGGCUUCUGCAAGCGAGGAUCCAACGAAGCCCUCUCGCUCCUGCAUAGGGUCCCGCGAGGGGGGGUCCAGCGAGAUCCGCCAGCUUGCAGGUAUUCGACCAUACGUUUUACUCCGGUGCCCGAAUGACCUGAUUUUUGAUGCGUUGAAGAAGACUUCAAGAUUCUACAACUUGUCGAUAAUAAGAAUUUCUAAUCGAACUCUAAUCGUAAAAAAUAGAAUUUAAAAGUUACGGUAAAUUUUCAUGACAUUUCAAUCAACUUUUCUUAACUCAAACUUGCACAAAUGUGCUCAAAACCCUUUCACAAAUGCUCAAUACUCAUCUUCUAACAUUUAUAGGAGUCACACUAUUUCACAACUUACAUUAACACAAUGUGUCAUAAAUGCAAGCACCUAAACUCAAACGAAUUAUAACUGAACGCAUAACAUUUCUUAGUAUUUCACAAUACAGGGGACAAAUGCCACCCCAAGGGGGUGGGGGGGACCAUUGGCCCUCAUGGAGUAUCAAUUACAAAAAUAUAGAUGAUAAUCAUGGACAAUGCCACACUGGGUCCCAAAACAAUAUUACACUUUUUUCAAAAUAAUAACAAGUUUUCUAAGGACAAAAGAAAACAAAACGGCAAUCCACAUGCUCAAGAUUCGGGAUACACAUCGGUUACCUGAAAUUAUAUUGUUGUAAAGGUGGUUACCUUGAAAAGAUGUAACAAUGGACACUUGAUAUCUCAAGCAAAAAACCAUGAUUCUACUAUACCUUGAAACAUAAAGUCAUAAUGGGUUUUCACCACAAAUCAAAAUACAUUUUUGAUUCCAAACCAUGAUUAUUCAAUUCAAUGUUUACACAUUCAAGACUUCUAUUAAAAAAGCGAUUAGUUCAAUCAUUUGAACAACAUACUAGUUAAACACAUACUAGUCAACCUCCUUUCCCUCUAAACUACAGGACCACACCCGUCAACUUCCCGGACUCUCACCGUGGGCUAUGACAUUCCCUCGUAUUGUUGCCAUCCAACUUCCCGGACUUCACGUCGGGCAUGACAUUCCCUCGUAUUCAACAUUCCGGACUUUCCAGCGGGGCUAUGACAUUCCCUCCGUAUUGUCACGUUGGACUUUCACCGAGCGGCUCUGACAUUUCCUCCGUAUCGUUGCCAUCUAGGACUUUAAUUUUUUUGUCUAGCUUCUAGACUCUCAUAAACUAUACACCAUCCAAAGUUUCAUUUUAACCCAAACUUAUUUUUCUCAAACUUUCUAUUUAACAAUCACAUUAUGGCUAUAAUUAGCUUAGCAUCACAUUUACAAUAAUCCAAUGCAACAACAUAGUUCAAUACAUACAACUAUUUGAACAAUGAGCAAUUUUUGAAAUGCAUUUACAUCAAUUAAUUUGUAAAAUGUUUAUGAAUAUUUAAUAUGCAACAAAUUGUAUCCUCAAAUUAACAUACCUUUAAACAAUGAUUCUACUAUUUCGAACUUUACAUUUUUAUUCAUAGAAUAUAAACCAAUAUCCAUCAAAAAAAAAAAUUACAUUUUUCAUAGUAGAUUUCAUCACUCAAAAUAAUGCCUCAAUGGGCCCUAUAUAACUAGCCAAAUAUUAACCAAACACUUAAACCCCACAAGGAAACCCCCCCUUACCUCAAAUCUAGGAAGAAAGCUCCAAAAGAAAUGGUUGAGAAAGAGGAGAGACCCGAAUUUUUCACUUGCUCGAUCUUGAAUAUUUUUAGCUCUACGCGUAACCCUCGCCGAGGUGACAAAACAAUAGCCAAACACUAUCAACCAACUCUCACCAUUAGUUCACUAGAUCUAGGCUCAAAGUAGAAGAAACCCUCUUUGGUUCUAGCUUUAAGAGAGAGAGGAAAAGAAGAAGAGUUGGGAAAAAAAAAAAAGAGUGGUCUCAUGAGGGAGAGAAAAGUUUAGUUGUAGGAUAUUUUAGGCUAAGGGCCUUGUUGGUUCUCCAAUAACAAUUCAACUUUUGGAUCCCAAAAUUAAACUCACACUUCAUCCAAACCCAAUUUUCAAGUUAUAAAACACAUAACGAUAUAUAUAUAUAUAAUAGAUAUAUUAGAUAUAUAUAACCAGUGGCAUAAACAACGUAUAAUAAAAAAAAUUUGGACCUUACAACUCCACCACUUAAAGAAAUUCGUCACACGAAAUUAGAUAAACGUUACCCGAUUGGUCAAAAAAGAUCGGAUAAUUUACACGGACCUCAGACUCGAGCUCCCACGUAUAGCCUCUUCCACGCCAUGAUGAUGAAGCAUAGAACCUUUCACCAAUGGAAAUGGUUUUUCCUCUAUGUACUUGAUCCCGUGAGUCCAAAAAUCAAAUUGGUCGCUCCUCAUACGGACCUCGUUGAGAUCCAAGCCUCCCCAAUCCAAACAUGAGAAGGAUCGGGCUCAUACUUUCGCACCCUAGAAAUAUGAAAUACAUUGGCAUAUUUGCCAACCUUGUGGUUAGGCAAGACGAUAUGUUACGGCCCCAAAACACGAUCAAGAACCUCAAAAAGGUCCAGAUGAACCUUGGGGAAGCUUGCCACCUAUGCCCAAAAGGCAGCAUCAAUCCCUUCUUGGUGAAACCUUCAGAAUAUGAUCCCACAAAUUAAACUCAAGGGACGUUUUCCUCCGGUCAGCAUAAAUCUUCUGACGACUUGCGCCAAUGAGUAGUCAACACUUCAUAACAAGACUACUUUCUCGGUCGUAUCACGAACCCAAUCAGACUUGGCAAGUGCUGCCUCCCAACGUCGCGGUCCAACAAAGGUGUGGACCUACACGGCCUUACCGUAUGUAUACGCCCGCAAAUGGUGCCCAUACACAAUACUUGCCUGAUAAUAUUAUUUGUAGCGAAUUCUACCAAAUGUUAGAGGAUCCUCCCAUGAUCCCAAAAGUCAGUACACAUGCCCGAGGCAUGUCCUCCAAAAUUUGAAUGGUACGCUCAAAACUGCCCGUCAGUCUGAGGAUGAUGAAGAACGCCUACUAAGCCUCAAAGCUGAAAACAAGAGCGGAUUGCAUCCCCUUUCAAAAGAGCGAUGUAAAACGCGGAUCUCUAUCGAAACGAUAAAAUAUCGAACUCCGUGUGAAGGCUUGAAACGAUUCACGAACAUAAAUAACACCAAAGAUCCUCUGCCGAAAUUUGACAGACGGAUAGCAAGAAAAUGCGCGAAUUUAGUCAAAUGAGCGACUACUAACCCAGACGGCGUCAUGUCCUCUCAAAGAUCCUAGGCAAACCGUGUGUAACGAAAUCCAUCGUGAUGUGCACCCAUUUCCAUCUGCAACCGGUAAUGGUUGAACAGUCAUGUCGGUUUCUGGUGUUCGACCUUCACUUUUGACACGUCAAACACAUAGAAACAAACAAAGCAACAUCCUCUUCAUUCGCCUCCACCAGAAAUGACGACCACAAAAUCGUGGUCCAUCUUUGUUCCCUCCCGGAAAUGAACUACAAGUCGCGAAUGAUGAAAUCACAAAAGUAUGUCGUCAUUUUUCUACUAGACAAUGGUAGAACAAUCUAGACUUGUACCUUAAACCCCCACUGAUUGUAGAACCCAAUCAGUUGGUCCUACACCUCUAGUUGAUGCGGUCGCAAAAUAGUCUUGCUCCACAUCUUGCGGGUGCCUCAUAUGACCCUAUUGAUGAUAGAGGCUCUGCAGACCACGUGAAUAGCAUAGCGAACUCGUCUGUCUCCAACUAGAAGUAAAUCUACUCACCGAUAUCCCGAAGCAUUUGCCACUCAUAUGAAUAGAAACGCCAGCCAAAGUACCAAGGGAAUAUGGUAAAUCGAAGUAUAGUCUUCCAGUACUCAUCCAACGACGUUGCCCUCGGUUCAAGGUCUUUUUGUGUGAACAAGAUUUCAAAGCUUUUGUGGUCUGUGAAAAUACUUCAAUCGCUUCCCUUACAAGUGUGCCUCUAACUUUUCACGAAAUUAUAACUACCGCAGCUCUAAGUCGUGAGUCGGAUAAAUUUGUUCAUGUGUCUUCAAUUGACGUGAACCAUAUGCAAUUACUUUGCCUAACUGCAUUAACAGAACCCAAGCAAUCACGUGAAGCAUCGCAAUACAUUGUUACCCCAAUCCUCGCUCGGGUUAUGACAAGAAUCGGUUUGGCCGAACGUCCAACCUUUUCUUAAGUUUGAAAAGAAUGCUCGCACGCAUCGUUCCAAACAAAGCGGAUCCUUUCCUCGUUAAGUAGAGUCAUAGGUGCAGCUAAACGUGGAAAAAAUCAUCCACAAAUCGUCGAUAGUAACCGGCUAACCCCAAGAAGGAAAACUACGAAUAUCAAACACAGUCUUCGGUUUGUUCCCAAUUCAUCACUGCUUCAUCUUGAUGAGUCAACCCCUCUCCGAUUCCCGAAACAACGUGACCCAAGAAUUUCACUUCAGGUAACCAGAAAUCACCACUUGCCAAGCUUAGCAUAUAACCGAGGCUCUCGCAAGAGUGCAACACAAUCCUCAAAUGCUUAUCAUGCGACUAGUCGAUGGCGAGUCGAUCAAAAUGUCACCACAAAACACGACCACAAAACGAUCCAGUAUGGAUUGAAACUACGAUUCAUUCAAGUCCAUGAAGCUGCUGGCGAUGCGUAAGGACCAAAUGACAAUCACAAGGAAGAAACUCAUAAUGCCCGUAGCGUGAGCGGAAAGCCGUCUUCACAAUGUCCUCUUCCUUUGAUCCGCAAUUGAUGAUGAUAACCGAUCUCACAUCAAUCUUUUGAGAAACAACUCGAACCUUUAAUUGGUCAAACAAAUCAUUGAUUCUCGGGAACGUGGAUUACUAAUUCUUUAUCGUCACACGAUUUCAAUUGGCGGUAAUCCACAAACAUUCUAAGUGACCCAUCUUCUUCUUAGCAAAUAAGGCGAAGCUCCCCAUGUUGACGCCCUAGGUCGAAUAAAGUCCUUAUCUAACAAGUCUGGAUCUGAACUUUCAACUCUUGUAAUUCUGCCAGGUGCAAAAACGAUACGGUGGUAACAGAAAAGGGCGCGGUGCCCGUGUAUUGUUUUGUUAAGGUCAAUGCGAGAACUCAAUUCUCCCGAUGCGUUAGUAACUUUGUCAGUCUUCCGGAAAGACGGUCUACGGAAGUCGCAAAACAAACCGGUGGCAAAAACCACACGAACUUCACUAUCCUCGUCGUCAAACCAAACUAACCGACAAAAGAAAAAUUCAAUUCCCCUUGCUACGAAGAUCAUAGACGAGGGACAAAACUAGCACCUCGAUCUCCACAAAAUAAAAAUUGAUCACUUCGGGGUACAAAGCAACCGAUGUCGAAACACAAUUCUAUCGUAGCGCGAUAACCCAUCAACCAACCUGCCAAGGAUUACUUCAAAACUCGUCAUGUCAACACAAUAAAGUCGAACAUGAAGCGUCUAUCAGCGAUCUCAACCUCACAAGACCUACAACUCUCUUCAAAGUUGAUCUUUCCCCAACUGAGUGUCCUCUAACAUAAGUACGCGUCUAACACCUCAAUAUCUAACCCCAAUGCCAAGCAAAAAGAUGAUGCUAUUAUAAAUGAAUGCUUGAUGCCCCGUGUCGAUAAGAACACGAGCCCACGAUUAAUAUAAGUAAAGUACCUCGCACAACGAGGUUCCAUUGUUGCUCUGCUGUCCCAGUUGUCACCCGCGGUCACCGCUGCUGAUGCAAGCGUAAACCCCGUUCCCUUGCGCCUCUGACCCUGCUGAAGCUAAAGCUUGUGGCUGGACUGAUAUGAAGUUGUGCUGAUGUAAAUGAUGUGGAGUGGCCCUUGAGGGAAUGCACUGACCGAGUAGGUUUGCGAAUCCCGUAGCUCCCUGAUUGUUUUCCCUUAAAUGCACAUCGACUGAUUUAUGACCAACCCUAACCACACAUGAUAGCAAGUAGGUGGCCCCCUAACUUGAUUGUCCUUGUGCCGAAUGUGGAGAUGUUCCCCUCUGCUGCGACGCCGCUGUUGACCUUCAGGGGGCCCAGACCAUAAUACGAUGACCGGUUGGUGACAACCAAAACAAAUCGGGCCCUCCCCGAGAUGUUUGGCCAGAUGAUACAACUGCCAUGUUAGGUGAAGACCUACAGGAUUACGGCGUGCCUGAGUUAGUAGAAAAACUCUUCGGCUCUUAAAGAAGCCUUCAGACUGGUUGCUAGUCCCCUCAGCGGGUCGACUUAGGAUUUGAAUCUUUCUAGUCUCAUUCAAAGACUAUUCGAUGCCGCAGCCGCUGUGCUAACCCCCCCCAAAUAGUCGAGUAAACUGUGAUCAAAUUUCCAGCAAUCUAUUCUUAUGGGACGGCCUAAGCCCCCGCAUAAAACUGUUUCGCUUUAUUCUCUUUGUCGAUACAAAUGCUUUUGCAAACUGAAAAAGCUAGUAAAAUUGGCAUUCCUAUUGAGGCCACAGUCAUAUCCCUUGAACUAGAUUGAUAAAUUCCAUUCUCAAUGCCUCCUUAGCCGUAUCCGCAAAAUAUUGAUCCAGAAAAACCUUUGAAAGGCUCCACUCUUCGCUACUAAUUCUUCCAUGGGUCUCCACCAUUUGGAGGGCAUCCCCUUGUUAAGUGAUAGGAUGCAAACAAACACUCUCAAGUCCUCCUCAGUCACCCAGAUUGUAUUCCAACGCCCCUUGUGACUGUUCGAGCCAAUCUUCCGCAACCAACGGAAUACGGGGGGUUCUCCCUUGAACGUUGGUGGACGUAGUUGAGAAAAGAAAGGCCUUCAUGGGUUGUGGUAGCCCUACUUUCUACCGUUCUACUGGAAGUGGCAUAGUUUGUUACAGCGUUUUCCCACUUAUUCAAAGCGGUGAAAAUCCUUGCAUAAAUUCGGCAGCCACCCAAAAUCGUUGGUGGAAGCACCUAACAUAUUUCCCCAGGAGCACUUGCCCCACCUCCAUCACCGAUUCCUGGUGAUUCCCAUAAUCUUCUAAUCAGAUUUAACGAGUCCCGCGGCUCCACGAGCCCCACGAACUACGUAAGUGAUCUUGUACGCCUCCAGCGUACGUGGGUGGCAUUGUUCUACACAAUGGCCAAAUAAAAAUAAGAUUAGUCCUAUUUAAUAAUGAUUAAGUCAUACAUCUCCAUACCACACAAGCAAUUUAGUACAUGUAGCACGUAUGUUCAGUUAUUCCUAUACCAUAGAUAGCACACUAACCGUAUCCUCUCAAUACUUAGACGUUAAACAAAACGUAGGUCUAACAAACCCAUGUGACUCAUAGGUACACGAAUCUAGAGUUCCAUACAAUUUAUUAAAUCACAUUGGCAACACCUCACAUUAUUCUGAAUAGCUAAGCAGCAAACUUCAUAUGUCUUAACUAUUCCCACGGCUCCUAGGUACUCGUACCUAGAGCUCUGAUGAUACCAUGCUGGUCACGCCACGAUUGAUCAAGACCCCGGCGGGCCACGUAAUCAAAUUAUUCAAAUGCGCGAAAAAAGUCAACCCAAAAUGACAUCUAGACGGCUUAUACUAGUGACAUUUUAGAAAGUAGUAUAUGAGUAUUGAUAAAAAAUCCAAAAUAAAAAAAAAAAUGUUAAUUUCUUUUUUUUCUCUGGAUGAACAGUACAGCGAGGUCCAGUGAGAUCCAGCGAGAUCAGCGAAAAUCCCGCGAACUCGAUGGCAAAAAAAAAAAAAAAAAACAAGCUCUCGGCUUCUCCAAACAGGAUCCCUUUUUUUUUUUGCUGGAUGAACAUACCAACGAGGAUCCAGCGAGAUCCAGCGAGGUCUGUGGCAAAAAAAAAACCAAGCUCUCGGCUUCUUAUUCCAGCGAGGAUCCAACGAAGCCCCUCUCGCUCUGCUAGGGUCCCGCGGAGGAUCCAGCGAGCUCCGCCAGCUCGCGGUAUUAGACCAUAACCUUUACUCCGGUGCCCGAUUGACCUGAUUUUUGAUGCUUGUAAAGAAACUUCAAGAUUUAACAAUGGACUUGAUAUCUCAGCCAA